ensembl:lincRNA Eif2c5 uncharacterized LOC110286192
AGAAUCCCUUUGGUGCUGGCAGAAAGUGAAAGGGCAAAUUGGUUUUGCAAACUCAGUGAGAGCAUCCUCAGGGAGGCUGAGAAAAGCUCCCCUCUCCCUUUUACUGGAUUCAACCAGCCUGGAAAUCAAGAAAGUUCCCUCAGGGCUAGGUGACUGUAAUUCCCCAGGGCUCUAGAAACCCUUGGGAGGUACAAUCUCCCUAACCUUGGGACUUGAGCGAAGAAGACAUCCAGCCAGAAGUCCCUUGGAGCUGAGAGGCUGCAGUUCCUCUGUGAGUUCUUCUACGCGUGGGUCCUGGUCCUUGGAGCAGGAAGGCCGGCACAUCAUGUGCUACCCUCAUCCAUAGCUCACUGGGUCCAUCUUGUGAUGUUGUCGUACGUACACUGGAACUUCCUCCCAUUGUGGAAGAGAGUUUCCACCUCCCUGCCUGAGGAUGCCAGCCUGUUCUGGUUGCCUUCAGAACAAAAUGUAGAACUCUCAGUUCUGCCUGCACCGUGCCUGCCUGGAUGCUGCCAUGUUCCCACCUUGAUGAUAAUGGACUGAAUCUCUGAACCUGCCUGGAAGUUAUGGGAAAAAGCUGAAAGUUGGAUCCAGUAAUUCAAUUUAGCUGGGAAAGAUGAUAUCAAACAAUAUGAUGAAUACUCUUGAAGAAAAGGAAAGAUGUGGGACCUGCUGGUACUUCGAGUGUAUUUUCUGGAGAGAAAUAUGAGGAAUUGGCUGAAGUACAGAGAAGUGUACAGGAGAGCCUUCCUAUUCUCUUUUAUGGCUGCUUCCUAUGGGGAGCAGAGGCCACUUAGCCUCAAGAGACUGCUCAGUUGCCUGUGAUGUUCUAACAUCUGCCUUUCUAUGAGCCACUUUCUUCUAUCUACCUUUAUCCCUCAUUUUUCCUACCUUCUUGCCAACUGUAUGUGCUGUACUUUAAAAGGUAUGCAGUGGUUAAAAACAAACGAACAAACAAAGAAUCCAAGGAUAUGGGUAUAAGUGUUCCUCUGCAUAGUUUAUUUACCUAUAUGUACAAAUAUUUAGAUUGAAUAUUUGUUUAUGUUAUUUGAAUGUAUGUAUUAUAUAGAUGUGUUAAAAUGAUAUUCAGCAAUGCCUUAUUUUCAAUAAGUUACCACAUUAGGCUCUAUUGUGGUAUGAAUGUGAACUGACCUCCAUAAGCUUGUAUGUUGAAAUACUUGGUUUUUAGUUGGUGGUAGAAGUUUGGAACCUUGUCAAAUGUGUCUUACACAGAGCCUUGAUGAAACAAGUGCCUCAAUGUGGGGUGAACUUUGCUGUUCAAAAGCCUGGUUCCAUUAUAUAUCACCUGCUUCCUCACUGCAGAGGCAAUGCAAACAGCCAGUUCACACCAUUACUGCCUUACCUCUCUGCCAUGGAAGAAUGUAUAAUUCCUAAAAUUGUAAGUCCAAGUGAACCCUUCUUUAAGA